rnacentral:rRNA from 1 species
AACGAACGCUGGCGGCAUGCCUAACACAUGCAAGUCGAACGAGAUCUUCGGAUCUAGUGGCGCACGGGUGCGUAACGCGUGGGAAUCUGCCCUUUGCUUCGGAAUAACAGUGAGAAAUUACUGCUAAUACCGGAUGAUGUCUUCGGACCAAAGAUUUAUCGGCAAGGGAUGAGCCCGCGUAGGAUUAGGUAGUUGGUGGGGUAAUGGCCUACCAAGCCGACGAUCCUUAGCUGGUCUGAGAGGAUGAUCAGCCACACUGGGACUGAGACACGGCCCAGGCUCCUACGGGAGGCAGCAGUGGGGAAUAUUGGACAAUGGGCGAAAGCCUGAUCCAGCAAUGCCGCGUGAGUGAUGAAGGCCUUAGGGUUGUAAAGCUCUUUUACCAGGGAUGAUAAUGACAGUACCUGGAGAAUAAGCUCCGGCUAACUCCGUGCCAGCCGCCGCGGUAAUAC